rnacentral:rRNA from 1 species
GCCAGACUCCUACGGGAGGCAGCAGUGGGGGAUAUUGCACAAUGGGGGAAACCCUGAUGCAGCGACGCCGCGUGAGUGAAGAAGUAUUUCGGUAUGUAAAGCUCUAUCAGCAGGGAAGAAAAAGGACGGUACCUGACUAAGAAGCCCCGGCUAACUACGUGCCAGCAGCCGCGGUAAUACGUAGGGGGCAAGCGUUAUCCGGAUUUACUGGGUGUAAAGGGAGCGUAGACGGCAAUACAAGUCGGAAGUGAAAUACCCGGGCUUAACCUGGGAACUGCUUUGGAAACUGUAUGGCUGGAGUGCUGGAGAGGUAAGCGGAAUUCCUAGUGUAGCGGUGAAAUGCGUAGAUAUUAGGAGGAACACCAGUGGCGAAGGCGGCUUACUGGACAGUAACUGACGUUGAGGCUCGAAAGCGUGGGGAGCAAACAGGAUUAGAUACCCGAGUACC